rnacentral:rRNA from 1 species
CCUACGGGAGGCAGCAGUGAGGAAUAUUGGUCAAUGGCCGGAAGGCUGAACCAGCCAAGCCGCGUGAGGGACGACGGUGCUAUGCAUUGUAAACUUCUUUUGUCAAGGGACAAAAUCAGCCUCAAGAGCCUUACCGCGGGUACUUGAAGAAAAAGCAUCGGCUAACUCCGUGCCAGCAGCCGCGGUAAUACGGAGGAUGCGAGCGUUAUCCGGAUUUAUUGGGUUUAAAGGGUGCGUAGGCGGGAUAUUAAGUCAGCGGUAAAAGACAGGGGCUCAACCCCGGCGAGCCGUUGAAACUGGCUGUCUUGAGAGGGCGAGAGGUAUGCGGAAUGCGCGGUGUAGCGGUGAAAUGCUUAGCUAUUGCGCAGAACUCCGAUUGCGAAGGCAGCAUACCGGCGGCGAUCUGACGCUGAGGCACGAAAGCGUGGGUAUCGAACAGGAUUAGAUACCCCAGUAGUC